GCGAAAGUGAAAGUAAGACAGACCAGGAAGUCGUUAGUCAGCGUGCACGAGGCUGUAGGAUUUCUUUUACAAACUUCGACCUCCUAACACAGAGACUAACUCACUGAGGGAUAAGAAACUCUGCGAUGUCUGGACGCAGUGAACACAGGUGGUGCUUGUGCUGAGCCACAUCGACGCCAACAGUAACAUCCAUCAGCGGUUCUCCAGUUUGGACUGAACCACCAGGAAGUGGAUGUACAUCUCAGUCAGGGUCUUGGGCAGCUCUCCCCCCUCUCUGGUCUUCAGCACCUCCUCCAGAACUGUAGCAGUGUGAAUCUCUUCCUGAAGUACUCCUCCUUCUGUGGGUCAGUGACGCCUCUUCCAUCUGAGGGUUUAAAGACGUCUUCACGUGUGAUUGCUGUUUCUGGUCCGUCUGGUUUCCUGGAUGCUGUUUCAAUCUGUCUGACCUCAUGUUCAUCGUUGACCUCUGCAGUCCCUCCCUCUGUGAUGCAGAGCUCUGUGUAGAUCUGGUUCAGAAGGGUUGGGUUUCCUGCUUUAGCGAUCCCCUCAAACACACACUGAGACCUCUGCUUCAGAUCAGAUUUGAGUUCACAGAGUCUGGAGCACAUGAACAAACAAGAGUAUUAUCUAAAUUUAUGGUAGUUUAAAAAAUGUAAGAAUGGACGAUUUUCCUCUUUCCGUCACGUUAAAGUUGUUAAAAUCCUCUGCAGACGGUCAGCCAGCUCCUCCUGCUUCAUCCUCCUCAGGAAGUGCAGCGUGAUCUCCAGAAAUGCCUCUCUGCUCCUCUGCUCUCCUUCCUCCACAUCCACCACCUCCUCAUCCUGGAUCAGUCUAAAACCUUAAACUAGACUGCCUUUAUUUUAAAACUGUUGACUUAUUUAAUUUACUUGCGAAUAUGCGAUAAUAGGCUGCCUGCUCUGACCUAAUAUCAGCUAUAACUUUCUUGGGUUACAUGUCUAUCAUUAUCUGACAUACUGGGAUGAAGGAGCUGCUCUACUUUAUGUUAAACUUUACUUGUGAUGACCUUUGCUCUAACACUCUCUUUGUAAAUACAGAUAUGUGGCAGCUGGUGAACAGGGAGUGGUAGGUUUCUUGCAUAUGAAACCUCUGAUUUAUUGAACUGGAGAUUCAUAAAUUUAGUCAUUUCAAAAGCACCUAAUGUUGAACAGAUGAUAGCAGACUUCUUACUCUGCCUGAUGUAAGAAAGCAGCUGAACAUGUUGAUUCAACGAGGUGAACCUCAAAACACAAUUAUAGCUACAGGACUUCUGUUUUAGAUUGUAGUCCCGUGGUGAGUCUGGAUUUCGUUUGUGUUUUCUGGUCCAAUAGUGGCACCUUGUGGAUGUUAGUGGACCCUCUUCAUACAGGAAGUGUCGUCAUGCAGCGAAAGUGAAAGUAAGACAGACCAGGAAGUCGUUAGUCAGCGUGCACGAGGCUGUAGGAUUUCUUUUACAAACUUCGACCUCCUAACACAGAGACUAACUCACUGAGGGAUAAGAAACUCUGCGAUGUCUGGACGCAGUGAACACAGGAAAAUUAGGUACUGAAGGAACUGAACAGCUGAUGGAGUCUAUCAUCAGUGGGGACAGUGAGGCCUCCGUAUCAUUGAAGUUGGGUCUGUGUGCAGAACAUACAGAAGUGAGGACACAUGGCUUGUACAGCACAGUCUGCCUUAGAUUACGUCAACAGUGCCAGACUCCACCUUGUGAGAGAAUUAAAGAGUCUCUCAGUGAUUGUGGAGAACUUGCAUCAGCAGAAAGUUUUCAGUGAUGAAGAGGUCAGCAAUAUACAGGCCGAGAGAAAUGACUACGAAAAAAACAGAACUGUUGUGGACUCAGUCGUAAAAAAGGGGGAAGCAGCCUGCUACGAGUUCCUCAGGAUUAUUGACAUAACGAGGAAGAGGACCUUAGGGAGGACAUCUCUUCUCCCUGAGAAAAAGAGUGUAGCGUCUACGGAGACCGAGAAGUUUGACCUGCACCACUGGAUCAGCUGCUAUCCUUUCAAGGAAGACACACACAUGGAGAUAAACUACUUACAAGGCCCAAUGCCGUGCCACAGAUAUCAGGCAAAGUUGAAGUCAAAAACACAAAAAAUGUCAAAUGAGUUUUGGAUGGCAAACAAAAAUCUGUUUGAAGGAAACAACAAGCCUGAUCUGUCGUACACUGCACUUGUAUUAGACACACAAGGAAGUGUUUCUACAUCUAAAAUAAAGAAAUUUAAGAGCAAGAAAAGCAAGAUGAGUCGCCCUAAAAAGCUGAGGACAUACAUCCCUGAGGGCAGAGCAGAAACUUCCCCCAGUGACCUGCUGAAAACAGAUAAAAGCAUACUCUUGGUUGGUCAGCCUGGAAUUGGAAAGACAGCACUCGCUCAUGAAAUGUUGAAACUCUGGGCAGAAAGAGACAACAAGGAGCUCGAUUACAUGUUCUACUUUGACAUGAGAGCAACAGAGGACAUCACCAAGGCCGUGAGCUUGGAGGAUCUUCUUUUCAGUGUGUUCAGUGAACCAGAUGAAGGCAAACAAGAGGUCUUAGAGGACAUAAAGAAGAACUCUGACAAUGUUACAGUCAUUUUUGAUGGACUCACAGAUCUCUCUUCUUCAGUGGUGCGGAGACUUGUAGAGAAGGACCUACUACCUAAUGCCAAGGUCAUCGUGACUUGCAGACCGGAUGAUGAAGAAGACUUCUUUUCUGGCGACUUUCUCAGAGUGGAAGUGAAAGGCUUUAGUGAGCAGACCAUAAAAACAUACUUAUCUGCAAUGCUAGACGAAGAACAGGAGAAGGUUUUGUGCAACUUGGAGUUGUUAACUCUUUGCCACGUCCCAAUGUACGCACUGAUGGUGGCUGCCUGCUUUUCAUCUGAGACGUCAGAAGACUCUCCGCAGCCGUGCACUGUAACUGAAAUCUACAUCAAUAUUGCUCGUUUUUGCCUUCAAACAAACAGCAACAAAACCAAAACCAAACAUCUAAAUUCCUUCAUCAACAACAAGAGUAAGGAAAUGCUGUCUUUGGCUGAAGUUGCUUUUCAUGCAACUGAAAGAAAAACUGUGAACUUGACAAAACUGCAAUAUGAAGACAGCUGUGUCCUUUCCUUCCUGAAGACACUUGUUCUCAAAGUCGCCCACACUGAGACAAUAACCACGUAUGCAUUUCUCCACUACACAAUGCAGGAGUUUUUUGCAGCACUGUGGCUCUUGAAGGAUCCAGAUAAAAUCAAGGCUGUGUUUCAGCAGAGCCUCACUGAGCAGCACAAACACAUGAAACAUCUGAUCCCCUUCAUGUGUAGAUUGUUGACUGAGAAGAGCCCUAGUUGGAUGGAGCAUCUGAUUCCAGCUCAGCAGCUCAAGAAUACAUCUAACUGGUACUUCAAGGAACUGAUAACCACCUUUUCCCCUGGUCUGUGUAAGACAGAUGAUGCUGAUACAGAGGACAGUGGGCUUGGUGUGGACAUACUGUUCUUAUGCCAGUGCUUGUAUGAGUCCCAGUGUCCUGAAGCAUGCAUCUACUUUCUGGAGAAACUGGACUACCGUCUUGAUCUCAGUGAAGAGAGUCUCGAUCCUUACCUUUGCUGUGCUGUGGCCUAUGUGGUCACUCAGUCAAAGGAGAGGAAAAUAUGGCUGAACCUUGAGGGCGUCAUGGUGUCAGGGCAAGGAAUUAGACGACUAGUUGGAUGCCUUCAAAAUGUCCACUGUUGCUCUCACCUGUUUAGUGUCUCAGUUGAAGAUCAAGUCGAGUUCUUUGGGAAUCUGUUCUGUGCAGCAGCAGAGAGAGAACAGCAGACAGGAGAGAAGAUACUGGAGCUGUUAUCAUCAGUGUGCAGAUAUGAAACUUUCCCUCUUAAAGAGAAAUGGUGUGAUUUCCUGCUGGAUCUGUACUCCCACGUGAAGGACUAUGAGACUACAACAGGCUUGAGUGUCCUUCCAGCAUUACAUUACUUCCAGUCAGUUUUCCAGUCAGCUCCUGCAGUCUGGUCCAUAAACCUCUCAGAGAGAAAGACCUCCAUCCUCCUGGAAGUGCUGAAACUCCAAUCAGAGAAGAAACAGGUGAAGCUGACAGACUGCUCAGGUGAAGAGAGUGAAGCGAGGAGCUUCCUGCAGUGUCUGCCUUAUAUCUCACAGCUCAGUGUCUCAGAUGAAGAUCAAGUCGAGUUCUUUGGGAAUCUGUUCUGUGCAGCAGCAGAGAGAGAACAGCAGACAGGAGAGAAGAUACUGGAGCUGUUAUCAUCAGUGUGCAGAUAUGAAACUUUCCCUUUAACAGACAUGUAUUUCGAUGAUGAUGAUGAUGAUGAUAAGGAAUAUCAGUGUGGUUUACUGCUGGAUCUGUACUCCCACGUGAAGGACUAUGAGACUAAAACAGGCUUGAGUGUCCUUCCAGCAUUACAGUCAGUUUUCCAGUCAGCUCCUGCAGUCUGGUUCAUAGACCUCUCAGAGAGAAAGACCUCCAUCCUCCUGGAAGUGCUGAAACUCCAAUCAGAGAAGAAACAAGUGGAGCUGACAGACUGCUCAGGUGAAGAGAGUGAAGUGAGGAGCUUCCUGCAGUGUCUGCCUUAUAUCUCACAGCUCAGUUUCUCUCACCGGUUUAGUGUCUCAGUUCAAGUCAAGUUCUUUGGGAAUCUGUUCUGUGCAGCAGCAGAGAGAGAACAGCAGACAGGAGAGAAGAUACUGGAGCUGCUAUCAUCAGUGUGCAGAUAUGAAACUUUCCCUUUAACAGACAUGUAUUUCGAUGAUGAUGAUGAUGAUGAUGAUGUUAAGGAAUAUCUGUGUGGUUUACUGCUGGAUCUGUGCUCCCACGUGAAGGACUGUGAGACUAAAACAGGCUUGAGUGUCCUUCCAGCAUUACAGUCAGUUUUCCAGUCAGCUCCUGCAGUCUGGUUCAUAGACCUCUCAGAGAGAAAGACCUCCAUCCUCCUGGAAGUGCUGAAACUCCAAUCAAAGAAGAAACAGGUGGAGCUGACAGGCUGCUCAGGUGAAGAGAGUGAAGUGAGGAGCUUCCUGCAGUGUCUGCCUUAUAUCUCACAGCUCAGGUUCUCUUCCUGGUUUAGUGUCUCAGAUCAAAUCGAGUUCUUUGGGAAUCUGUUCUGUGCAGCAGCAGAGAGAGAACAGCAGACAGGAGAGAAGAUACUGGAGCUGCUAUCAUCAGUGUGCAGAUAUAAAUCUUUCCCUUUAACAGACAUGUAUUUCGAUGAUGAUGAUGAUGAUGAUGAUGAUAAGGAAUAUCUGUGUGAUUUCCUGCUGGAUCUGUGCUCCCACGUGAAGGACUGUGAGACUAAAACAGGCUUGAGUGUCCUUCCAGCAUUACAGUCAGUUUUCCAGUCAGCUCCUGCAGUCUGGUCCAUAAACCUCUCAGAGAGAAAGACCUCCAUCCUCCUGGAAGUGCUGAAACUCCAAUCAGAGAAGAAACAGGUGGAGCUGACAGGCUGCUCAGGUGAAGAGAGUGAAGUGAGGAGCUUCCUGCAGUGUCUGCCUUAUAUCUCACAGCUCAGUUUCUCUUCCUGGUUUAGUGUCUCAGAUGAAGAUCAAGUCAAGAUCUUUGGGAAUCUGUUCUGUGCAGCAGCAGAGAGAGAACAGCAGACAGGAGAGAAGAUACUGGAGCUGUUAUCAUCAGUGUGCAGAUAUAAAUCUUUCCCUUUAACAGACAUGUAUUUCGAUGAUGAUGAUGAUGAUGAUAAGGAAUAUCUGUGUGGUUUACUGCUGGAUCUGUGCUCCCACGUGAAGGACUAUGAGACUAAAACAGGCUUGAGUGUCCUUCCAGCAUUACUGUCAGUUUUCCAGUCAGCUCCUGCAGUCUGGUCCAUAAACCUCUCAGAGAGAAAGACCUCCAUCCUCCUGGAAGUGCUGAAACUCCAAUCAGAGAAGAAACAGGUGAAGCUGACAGGCUGCUCAGGUGAAGAGAGUGAAGUGAGGAGCUUCCUGCAGUGUCUGCCUUAUAUCUCACAGCUCAGUGUCUCAGAUCAAAUCGAGUUCUUUGGGAAUCUGUUCUGUGCAGCAGCAGAGAGAGAACAGCAGACAGGAGAGAAGAUACUGGAGCUGCUAUCAUCAGUGUGCAGAUAUGAAACUUUCCCUUUAACAGACAUGUAUUUCGAUGAUGAUGAUGAUGAUGAUGAUGUUAAGGAAUAUCUGUGUGGUUUACUGCUGGAUCUGUGCUCCCACGUGAAGGACUGUGAGACUAAAACAGGCUUGAGUGUCCUUCCAGCAUUACAGUCAGUUUUCCAGUCAGCUCCUGCAGUCUGGUUCAUAGACCUCUCAGAGAGAAAGACCUCCAUCCUCCUGGAAGUGCUGAAACUCCAAUCAGAGAAGAAACAGGUGAAGCUGACAGACUGCUCAGGUGAAGAGAGUGAAGUGAGGAGCUUCCUGCAGUGUCUGCCUUAUAUCUCACAGCUCAGUUUCUGUCACUGGUUUAGUGUCUCAGUUCAAGUUCAAGUCAAGUUCUUUGGGAAUCUGUUCUGUGCAGCAGCAGAGAGAGAACAGCAGACAGGAGAGAAGAUACUGGAGCUGUUAUCAUCAGUGUGCAGAUAUGAAACUUUCCCUUUAACAGACAUGUAUGAGACGAUGAUGAUAAGGAAUAUCAGUCUGGUUUCCUGUUGGAUCUUUACUCCCACGUGAAGGACUAUGAGACUAAAACAGGCUUGAGUGUCCUUCCAGCAUUACAGUCAGUUUUCCAGUCAGCUCCUGCAGUCUGGUUCAUAGACCUCUCAGAGAGAAAGACCUCCAUCCUCCUGGAAGUGCUGAAACUCCAAUCAGAGAAGAAACAAGUGGAGCUGACAGACUGCUCAGGUGAAGAGAGUGAAGUGAGGAGCUUCCUGCAGUGUCUGCCUUAUAUCUCACAGCUCAGCUGUGAUCCAGAGUUCUUCCAGAGUGUGUGUACACUCAUCUCUGUAAGGUCCAGAGAGGAGGCCGAGCAGCUGUCCUCUGUGCUGCAGCUCCUGGGGUUCACCCUGCUGUUAACAGGAGAGUUACGCAGCAGAACCUGCAGG